rnacentral:rRNA from 1 species
GUCGGGAAUUUUGGGCAAUGGGCGAAAGCCUGACCCAGCAACGCCGCGUGAGGGAUGAAGUAUUUCGGUAUGUAAACCUCGAAAGAAUGGGAAGAAUAAAUGACGGUACCAUUUAUAAGCUCCGGCUAACUACGUGCCAGCAGCCGCGGUAAUACGUAGGGAGCAAGCGUUGUUCGGAUUUACUGGGCGUAAAGGGCGCGUAGGCGGCGCGGUAAGUCACUUGUGAAAUCUCUGAGCUUAACUCAGAACGGCCAAGUGAUACUGCUGUGCUAGAGUGCGGAAGAGGCAACCGGAAUUCUUGGGGUAGCGGUGAAAUGCGUAGAUAUCAAGAGGAACACCUGAGGCGAAGGCGGGUUGCUGGGCCGACACUGACGCUGAUGCGCGAAAGCCAGGGGAGCAAACG